rnacentral:lncRNA from 1 species
GUUCUCUCAUCUCCACCAAGCCACCGAUCUGCCACCCGAAGCAGAGGAGAAGAAGACGAAGCCCAGCGCCCACCGCGGCGCAACCAGCAGCUCCGGCCACAGAGCCUCCACCAGCAGCCCUUCGGUCACACCGCCGAGUGCUUGAAACAGAAGGGUGGGCAAGCAAAAGACCAGAAUAGAUCGGCGAAGAAGGAAGCCAGACCCGAACCGAUGAAGAAGACCCAAAAACAUAUCUGAAAAAACUAAAAAAAAACUUAAAAUCGACUGCCCUUGUUGUGUUGUUGUUUGUUUUGCAGGUGACGGGCAGCAGUAGAUUGAAGAGGGGAGGAAGCCAUUGCAGCCCCCUCACGCCGCCUGAUUUCUGGGCAGCGCGUGAACCCACGCGCCGCCAGUGACGGUGGCGCGUGGGAAGACGCGCCGCCACUGAUUUCUGCCCCAGCAACCUUCCCGUCACUGUUCCCGAGCACUGUUCCUGCGGAUUCCAUAAAAAUUAGGAUGUUUUAGGGGGUAUUUUGUAAUUUUAAAUGGUUUGAUGUAAAUUUUUUAGUAUUGAAUUUUUAUUGGUAUUUUGUAAAUAUGGAUGUAAAAGAAAAGAAAAGAAAAAGAAAAGAAAAGAAAUAAAAAAAAAUAGUGAAAGUGUAUGUGUGGGUUUGAAUUUGUUAUUUUAUUUAUUUAUUUAUUUAUUUUUUAGGAUAAAAUUGCAAAUCUAUUAAAGAAGAAUUUAAUAUUUUGAUCGGAUCACGGUUAAGAAUUAUUAACUUAUACGUAAGUGAUAUUUCUAAUUUCCGACGAAAAGACAAUUAUUAAAACUUCUUUAACACAUCAAAGUCGCGAAGCAGCUUACCUCAGGUAGGGUGCGUUAGGGGUGCUAAUACCUUCCCUAACCACAACCAGUUCCUUACC